GCCAUGCUUGCUAAGUCUGUCUGUUGGCUGUUGCUAUGGCUACGGAAAGCCAGUGGAACCCAAUGAGCUGUCUGCAGAGGCGCUGAGAGGACCAGCCAUUUUACUUAGGGAAAGCAGUGUGGCAUAAAGCCUUUCUGUGGAGGAAGCAUUUUUUUGAAAAAAAGAAAAAUCUUUGGGGAGAAGAGAGCCCACAGUGGGCACGCUAGUGCACAAUUAUUGCAGCCACGUGUGCCCGCAAGCUGGCCCUGCGACAAGCUGUUGAGUGCUGUUGCAAUUAGCUGAUUGGAGAACGGGGACUGCAGGGUGAUAAUGCUGCGUCUCCGCUCGCGGGCACCAGGAAAGGGUUUUGUCUCGGGAAGGCAAGUCUUCCCUGCACAGUUAUCUCAGCAGCUCCCUAGCUGAAGAGAACUGGGGGCUCUAAAGGGAGGGGGUCGCACUGUGCGAGCACAGGUUCUGGGCCAGGCUGUUGCUUAUGAGCCGCAGGUCUGGGAAAGCAGGUGUGUGCUCGGACCGGCACUGGGCUGGAACGCAGGCGGCCGCUCUCGGGUUCACCUGCUUCCUGUUAACAGACUGUUGGCUCACAGAGCAUCUGCUCCUACACGCUGAAGCUGCGGCUGAGAAAGGGGUUCCGGGCAUCCCACUUGACUGACGGAGGCACUUGGAUUGGACUUAAUCUUAAACCUCUGGAGGUCAAGACCUUUUAAAAAGGGCUAAAUAAACAUUCUACAUGUAAAAGGCCAGCGACUCCUACUUCCUCUGUUGGAGCAACUGUGAAGUCCAGCCUCUUCUAGAGCCAGAAUAGGACAGACUCAUAUACCAUUCUGAUCUGGGUGCAUUUCUUCAGAAGGUAUGCUGCCCUCAUGGGGAA